rnacentral:rRNA from 1 species
UGCCCAGUGACAUAAUGUUCAACGGCCGCGGUAUCCUGACCGUGCAAAGGUAGCAUAAUCAUUUGCCUUUUAAUUGGAGGCUAGUAUGAAUGGGUAGACGUAGAUUCAGCUGUUUCUAUAUUAUAAAUAAAACUUAAACUUUAGGUGAAGAUGCCUAAAUAUCAUAGAAAGACAAGAAGACCCUAUAGAGUUUUAGUUAAACACACUUUACAUUCGUGCAAUAACUUUGGUUGGGGCGACCUAGGAUUUUUAUAAACAUCCUUUUAAUUUACGAUCCUUAAAUCUUUACAUUAGACCCUUAAACGGAUUAUUAAAAAUAACUACCUUAGGGAUAACAGGCUUAUCUUCCUAGAGAGCUCUUAUUGAUAGGAUGGUUUG